GAUGAAGAACGUAGCGAAAUGCGAUAAGUAGUGUGAAUUGCAGAAUUCAGUGAAUCAUCGAAUCUUUGAACGCACAUUGCGCCUCCUGGCAUUCCGGGAGGCAUGCCUGUUCGAGCGUCAUCAAACCCCAUCGUGCAAAUGAAUUAUUUUUUUUGCGCGGAAGUGACGAUUGAGCGAGAAUAACAAAUCCUCUCGCACCUCGUCGAAAUGAUUGCGGGCGGAAUUUGGGAUCGGGUUCCUCGGCGUAGUGUAUCAAUGCAUAUUUAUGCAACUUGCCGCGGAGUUGAGCCUGACCCACGCGUUCUCGCCGUACAAACACCUCAUUACUUUACAAGUUUUUGACCUCGGAUCAGGUAGGGAUACCCGCUGAACUUAAGCAUAUCAAUAAGCGGAGA
rnacentral:misc_RNA from 1 species